rnacentral:misc_RNA from 1 species
UUUCCGUUGGUGAACCUGCGGAAGGAUCAUUAAAGUUAUAGUCCCCCGGCCCUCUGUGCUGGAGCCUUCUAUACCACCCUUUGUUUAUUGCACCUUUGUUGCUUUGGCAGGCCUGCUCUCGGGCCGCUGGCUCCGGCCGGCUCGCGUCUGCCAGAGGACCUAAACUCUGUUUGUAUAUGAAGUCUGAGUACUAUAGAAUAGUUAAAACUUUCAACAACGGAUCUCUUGGUUCUG